rnacentral:rRNA from 1 species
UUGUAAGUUAAAAAGCGUAACAAGGUCUCCGUUGGUGAACCAGCGGAGGGAUCAUUACCGAGUUUACAACUCCCAAACCCAAUGUGAACGUUACCAAACUGUUGCCUCGGCGGGGUCACGCCCCGGGUGCGUCGCAGCCCCGGAACCAGGCGCCCGCCGGAGGAACCAACCAAACUCUUUCUGUAGUCCCCUCGCGGACGUAUUUCUUACAGCUCUGAGCAAAAAUUCAAAAUGAAUCAAAACUUUCAACAACGGAUCUCUUGGUUCUGGCAUCGAUGAAGAACGCAGCGAAAUGCGAUAAGUAAUGUGAAUUGCAGAAUUCAGUGAAUCAUCGAAUCUUUGAACGCACAUUGCGCCCGCCAGUAUUCUGGCGGGCAUGCCUGUCCGAGCGUCAUUUCAACCCUCGAACCCCUCCGGGGGAUCGGCGUUGGGGAUCGGGACCCCUCACACGGGUGCCGGCCCCGAAAUACAGUGGCGGUCUCGCCGCAGCCUCUCCUGCGCAGUAGUUUGCACAACUCGCACCGGGAGCGCGGCGCGUCCACGUCCGUAAAACACCCAACUUUCUGAAAUGUUGACCUCGGAUCAGGUAGGAAUACCCGCUGAACUUAAGCAUAUCAAANUCGGGAGGAAA